rnacentral:rRNA from 1 species
GACGAACGCUGGCGGCGUGCUUAACACAUGCAAGUCGAACGGUAAGGCCCUUCGGGGUACACGAGUGGCGAACGGGUGAGUAACACGUGGGUGAUCUGCCCUGCACUUCGGGAUAAGCCUGGGAAACUGGGUCUAAUACCGGAUAGGACUCCUGGCUUCAUGGUUGGGGGUGGAAAGCUUUUGCGGUGUGGGAUGGGCCCGCGGCCUAUCAGCUUGUUGGUGGGGUAAUGGCCUACCAAGGCGACGACGGGUAGCCGGCCUGAGAGGGUGACCGGUCACACUGGGCCUGAGAUACGGCCCAGAAUCCUACGGGAGGCAGCAGUGGGGAAUAUUUCACAAUGGGCGCAAGCCUGAUGCAGCGACGCCGCGUGAGGGAUGACGGCCUUCGGGUUGUAAACCUCUUUCAGCUAUGACGAAGCGCAAGUGACGGUAGUAGCAGAAGAAGGACCGGCCAACUACGUGCCAGCCGCCGCCGUAA